UACGUAGGGUGCGAGCGUUGUCCGGAAUUACUGGGCGUAAAAGGGGCUCGUAGGUGGUUUUGUCGCGUCGUCUGUGAAAUUCCGGGGGCUUAACUCCGGGCGUGCAGGCGAUACGGGCAUAACUUGAGUACUGUAGGGGUAACUGGAAUUCCUGGUGUAGCGGUGAAAUGCGCAGAUAUCAGGAGGAACACCGAUGGCGAAGGCAGGUUACUGGGCAGUUACUGACGCUGAGGAGCGGAAAAGCAUGGGGUAGCGAAACAGGAUUAGACUACCCCGUAGUCC
rnacentral:rRNA from 1 species